UACAGGGGGGCAAGCGUUGUUCGGAAUUACUGGGCGUAAAGGGCUCGUAGGCGGCCUUCUAAGUCGAACGUGAAAUCCCCGGGCUCAACCCGGGAACUGCGUCCGAUACUGGCAGGCUUGAAUCCGGGAGAGGGAUGCGGAAUUCCAGGUGUAGCGGUGAAAUGCGUAGAUAUCUGGAGGAACACCGGUGGCGAAGGCGGCAUCCUGGACCGGUAUUGACGCUGAGGCGCGAAAGCCAGGGGAGCAAACGGG
rnacentral:rRNA from 1 species